rnacentral:rRNA from 1 species
UACAGAGGUCCCAAGCGUUGUUCGGAUUUAUUGGGCGUAAAGGGUGCGUAGGCGGCGCGGUAAGUCGGGUGUGAAAUCUCGGGGCUUAACUCCGAAACUGCAUUCGAUACUGCCGUGCUUGGAGGACUGGAGAGGAGACGUAGGUAAUUUGACGGUGUAGCGGUGAAAUGCGUAGAUAUCGUAAGGAACACCGAUGGCGAAGGCAAUCCCCUGGGCCUGCACUGACGCUCAUGCACGAAAGCGUGGGGAGCAAACAGG